UUAAGCGACUAAGCGUACACGGUGGAUGCCCUGGCAGUCAGAGGCGAUGAAGGACGUGCUAAUCUGCGAUAAGCGUCGGUAAGGUGAUAUGAACCGUUAUAACCGGCGAUUUCCGAAUGGGGAAACCCAGUGUGUUUCGACACACUAUCAUUAACUGAAUCCAUAGGUUAAUGAGGCGAACCGGGGGAACUGAAACAUCUAAGUACCCCGAGGAAAAGAAAUCAACCGAGAUUCCCCCAGUAGCGGCGAGCGAACGGGGAGCAGCCCAGAGCCUGAAUCAGUGUGUGUGUUAGUGGAAGCGUCUGGAAAGGCGCGCGAUACAGGGUGACAGCCCCGUACACAAAAAUGCACAUGCUGUGAGCUCGAUGAGUAGGGCGGGACACGUGGUAUCCUGUCUGAAUAUGGGGGGACCAUCCUCCAAGGCUAAAUACUCCUGACUGACCGAUAGUGAACCAGUACCGUGAGGGAAAGGCGAAAAGAACCCCGGCGAGGGGAGUGAAAAAGAACCUGAAACCGUGUACGUACAAGCAGUGGGAGCACGCUUAGGCGUGUGACUGCGUACCUUUUGUAUAAUGGGUCAGCGACUUAUAUUCUGUAGCAAGGUUAACCGAAUAGGGGAGCCGAAGGGAAACCGAGUCUUAACUGGGCGUUAAGUUGCAGGGUAUAGACCCGAAACCCGGUGAUCUAGCCAUGGGCAGGUUGAAGGUUGGGUAACACUAACUGGAGGACCGAACCGACUAAUGUUGAAAAAUUAGCGGAUGACUUGUGGCUGGGGGUGAAAGGCCAAUCAAACCGGGAGAUAGCUGGUUCUCCCCGAAAGCUAUUUAGGUAGCGCCUCGUGAAUUCAUCUCCGGGGGUAGAGCACUGUUUCGGCAAGGGGGUCAUCCCGACUUACCAACCCGAUGCAAACUGCGAAUACCGGAGAAUGUUAUCACGGGAGACACACGGCGGGUGCUAACGUCCGUCGUGAAGAGGGAAACAACCCAGACCGCCAGCUAAGGUCCCAAAGUCAUGGUUAAGUGGGAAACGAUGUGGGAAGGCCCAGACAGCCAGGAUGUUGGCUUAGAAGCAGCCAUCAUUUAAAGAAAGCGUAAUAGCUCACUGGUCGAGUCGGCCUGCGCGGAAGAUGUAACGGGGCUAAACCAUGCACCGAAGCUGCGGCAGCGACGCUUAUGCGUUGUUGGGUAGGGGAGCGUUCUGUAAGCCUGUGAAGGUGUGCUGUGAGGCAUGCUGGAGGUAUCAGAAGUGCGAAUGCUGACAUAAGUAACGAUAAAGCGGGUGAAAAGCCCGCUCGCCGGAAGACCAAGGGUUCCUGUCCAACGUUAAUCGGGGCAGGGUGAGUCGACCCCUAAGGCGAGGCCGAAAGGCGUAGUCGAUGGGAAACAGGUUAAUAUUCCUGUACUUGGUGUUACUGCGAAGGGGGGACGGAGAAGGCUAUGUUGGCCGGGCGACGGUUGUCCCGGUUUAAGCGUGUAGGCUGGUUUUCCAGGCAAAUCCGGAAAAUCAAGGCUGAGGCGUGAUGACGAGGUACUACGGUGCUGAAGCAACAAAUGCCCUGCUUCCAGGAAAAGCCUCUAAGCAUCAGGUAACAUCAAAUCGUACCCCAAACCGACACAGGUGGUCAGGUAGAGAAUACCAAGGCGCUUGAGAGAACUCGGGUGAAGGAACUAGGCAAAAUGGUGCCGUAACUUCGGGAGAAGGCACGCUGAUACGUAGGUGAAGUCCCUCGCGGAUGGAGCUGAAAUCAGUCGAAGAUACCAGCUGGCUGCAACUGUUUAUUAAAAACACAGCACUGUGCAAACACGAAAGUGGACGUAUACGGUGUGACGCCUGCCCGGUGCCGGAAGGUUAAUUGAUGGGGUUAGCGCAAGCGAAGCUCUUGAUCGAAGCCCCGGUAAACGGCGGCCGUAACUAUAACGGUCCUAAGGUAGCGAAAUUCCUUGUCGGGUAAGUUCCGACCUGCACGAAUGGCGUAAUGAUGGCCAGGCUGUCUCCACCCGAGACUCAGUGAAAUUGAACUCGCUGUGAAGAUGCAGUGUACCCGCGGCAAGACGGAAAGACCCCGUGAACCUUUACUAUAGCUUGACACUGAACAUUGAGCCUUGAUGUGUAGGAUAGGUGGGAGGCUUUGAAGUGUGGACGCCAGUCUGCAUGGAGCCGACCUUGAAAUACCACCCUUUAAUGUUUGAUGUUCUAACGUUGACCCGUAAUCCGGGUUGCGGACAGUGUCUGGUGGGUAGUUUGACUGGGGCGGUCUCCUCCUAAAGAGUAACGGAGGAGCACGAAGGUUGGCUAAUCCUGGUCGGACAUCAGGAGGUUAGUGCAAUGGCAUAAGCCAGCUUGACUGCGAGCGUGACGGCGCGAGCAGGUGCGAAAGCAGGUCAUAGUGAUCCGGUGGUUCUGAAUGGAAGGGCCAUCGCUCAACGGAUAAAAAGGUACUCCGGGGAUAACAGGCUGAUACCGCCCAAGAGUUCAUAUCGACGGCGGUGUUUGGCACCUCGAUGUCGGCUCAUCACAUCCUGGGGCUGAAGUAGGUCCCAAGGGUAUGGCUGUUCGCCAUUUAAAGUGGUACGCGAGCUGGGUUUAGAACGUCGUGAGACAGUUCGGUCCCUAUCUGCCGUGGGCGCUGGAGAACUGAGGGGGGCUGCUCCUAGUACGAGAGGACCGGAGUGGACGCAUCACUGGUGUUCGGGUUGUCAUGCCAAUGGCACUGCCCGGUAGCUAAAUGCGGAAGAGAUAAGUGCUGAAAGCAUCUAAGCACGAAACUUGCCCCGAGAUGAGUUCUCCCUGACUCCUUGAGGGUCCUGAAGGAACGUUGAAGACGACGACGUUGAUAGGCCGGGUGUGUAAGCGCAGCGAUGCGUUGAGCUAACCGGUACUAAUGAACCGUGAGGCUUAACCUU
rnacentral:rRNA from 1 species